AGAUUGAACGCUGGCGGCAGGCCUAACACAUGCAAGUCGAGCGGUAGAGAGGUGCUUGCAUCUCUUGAGAGCGGCGGACGGGUGAGUAAUGCCUAGGAAUCUGCCUAGUGGUGGGGGAUAACGUUCGGAAACGGACGCUAAUACCGCAUACGUCCUACGGGAGAAAGCGGGGGACCUUCGGGCCUCGCGCCAUUAGAUGAGCCUAGGUCGGAUUAGCUAGUUGGUGAGGUAAUGGCUCACCAAGGCGACGAUCCGUAACUGGUCUGAGAGGAUGAUCAGUCACACUGGAACUGAGACACGGUCCAG
rnacentral:rRNA from 1 species